rnacentral:lncRNA from 1 species
AACGGGAUUACCUCCGGUCAUCUUUUUCGACGUCUCCUCCUCCUUCCCCCACUAGAUCCUCGCCCGAUGCCUUCUUGCGAAGCAUCCACAUGGCGACCCACGGCAUCUGUGGCCAGAUCUCAAGCUCUGACCUCGCCUCCAGUUUCCCAGGCCCCACAUCCUCCGGCAAUGGCCGCUGGCAUGGAGCGGUCGGACAAUCGGCCUCCGAUGGAUUUCGCCAACACUAUCUCGGAAGAAUCUCGGUGGGGAGCGACCGGCGUGUUGGCCGGACCUCCCAAGCGGCAA